UACUCCUACGGGAGGCAGCAGUGGGGAAUUUUCCGCAAUGGGCGAAAGCCUGACGGAGCAAUACCGCGUGAGGGAUGACGGCCUAUGGGUUGUAAACCUCUUUUUUCAGGGAGGAAUCAAUGACGUGUACCUGAAGAAUAAGCAUCGGCUAACUCCGUGCCAGCAGCCGCGGUAAGACGGAGGGUGCAAGUGUUAUCCGGAAUCACUGGGCGUAAAGCGUCUGUAGGUGGUUUAAUAAGUCAACUGUUAAAUCUUGAGGCUCAACCUCAAAAUCGCAGUCGAAACUAUUAGACUAGAGUAUAGUAGGGGUAAAGGGAAUUUCCAGUGGAGCGGUGAAAUGCGUAGAUAUUGGAAGGAACACCGAUGGCGAAGGCACUUUACUGGGCUAUUACUAACACUCAGAGACGAAAGCUAGGGUAGCAAAUGGGAUUAGAUACCCCAGUAGUCUUAGCUGUAAACAAUGGAUACUAGAUGUUGAACAGAUCGACCUGUGCAGUAUCAAAGCUAACGCGUUAAGUAUCCCGCCUGGGAAGUAUGCUCGCAAGRGUGAAACUCAAAGGAAUUGACAAUCACGAAUUCUGG
rnacentral:rRNA from 1 species